ACUGACGUAGUUUAAAAAAACACUGAUUUUGUAAAUCAGAAAAUGGAGCUUAAAACUCCCGUCCGUAACCA
rnacentral:tRNA from 1 species